UGAUGAGGGAAAUAAUACAGACACAAGCGAUCACACUCAUCAUUUCAGCUAUAUCAGUAAAGUGGGGUACUAUCAUCUAAAUCUCCAAAAAGGUCAUUCAACUCUGAUCCCUGUUUAAAGAGAGAAAAAAGGAAUAAAGGAGCCUUUGAAGGCAGAAUAUUGCUCACUCAUCUCUUUGAAAGGACCUCAGACUGCAGAGCAGAAGAACCACUGGCUACAUCAGCUGGGGCAGAGGGGGAUGAAGAGAACAUCAUGAUGCCUGCAAAAAAGUGGGCUCUGCAGGAUCUCCAGUCACCUCCCUUCCCUUCAGAUCCAGAGCUCUCUCUGGCUAGGACCUUCCAGAGUUCCAGAAUUUUUGUUCCACCUUCCAUUGCUCACUUCUAUUACUAUUACUAAGAUAUUCACAUGGAAUUCUGUGCAAACCAUUUUUUUUUUCUUUUGGUGCCCUCUUUGUUUUACUUCCUCUAUUGGGACUAAUGGCCAUCUGACUUGGGGGUCCUUUGUUUUUUGUGACAAACCACCCUCAGCAGAUUUCCUUGAGGUCCAUUUGCUCAAGGGCCUUAAAGCUUUUUGGAGUAAUACAGAGUAAGUUUCUAGACAGCCUCUUGUGCUCUGCAGUAAGCUAAAGUGGAAGAUUAAGAUGCCUGGUGUAUACUGUGUGUUUCCCAUGUAAUGGCAGAAAAGGAAUGGGGCUCAUUAGUUACUUUAAGGUGGCAGCAGCUACCUUAGAGAAGACUGCAUUGCUUGUACUGAUUCAAAAGAGCACCUAAUGAAGGGAAAAAGCAGAAAUAAGCCAAGACUUGAGCUGAGUGAUUCGUUGAAUCAGCCAAGGAUAAUGUUCUUCAGGCACUAUGCACAUGUCACUGAUCAGUAGCGCUUCUCUUAAGCUUCAACAGCACUCACUUCCCCUGUCUUGAUGAGGUGAGCAGCACAUUUAAUUUCAGCUCCUGGGGCCAUCUGCAAACCUCUACUCCAUUCCUCAGCUGUGUUUGCUCCUCUGUUCUCAGGGAGCAGCAUUUUCACUGGAUGCAAACUGUGAGGCACUGUCUGGGCAAGCAGAUUGGUUACUAAUGAGGAAACUGGCACUGACAGCCUUUUGGGUUCUGAUUGAAGAAAAGAGAUGUCUUCGCAUCAGAAUGGUUUAACUUUCAAUGUGGCAUAUCAACUGGUUGAAAUUAGGGAGAGAGAGAAAGAGAAAUUUAAUUGUCAGGCUGUGGUGCGUAGUGUCAAAGCUACCUAGAUUAUGAGAAAUACGUCUUUUCAACAGCUUAAAGGCCACAGCUCUCAACAUUUUUUCUGCAUGUACAACACAGACAGGAUCCAGAAAUCCCAGCCUAUAACUCUUGGUUCCGUCAAAUACUCAACAGAGAAAACAGAAGUAUUUGAUUGUGGUAUUAACUAUGAAAUGUUCCCUAUUAGCCAUAUGAUUCUAUUAGCUCAGCUCAUUCCUGUUAGAUUUAUAGAAACAUUAGAGAUAAUUGGAAUUAGAAGGGCCAAGAGAGACGAUCCAAUCCCAUAUAGAGAAAAGCAAGACCCCUGCUCUCACUGAAGAAGUUUUAAAAAUAAUUAAACAACAAACAAACAAAUUGAGGCCCAGAGAGAUGAAGUAAUUUGACUGAUGUAUUCCAUCAGUGACAGACCUGGGACUGGAGCUCCAUCUCAGCUCUCAGCCCACUAAGAACCCUGUUCAUGGUGCCAUACUAGCAACCCCCUUCCUGUAGGAGUCUUUGAGAGUCAGAAUGACUUCUUGACUGAGAGGUACAUGUCUCUAGGAUAAGGACAAUUGAGGGGAUAAUGAGGAAAGAAAUAAUGUAAGUUAACUAUAUUUUGCCACAUGCCCUCCUCUCUCCAUGAAUCCAGGAUGUUGACCCAUAUCCAGCAUCCAUUGUGGGACUAAGUCUCGGACACCAAGGACUUCUAAGGAGCCUGCUCCAAUCUGAAAUGACUGUGGGGGAGCUGGCCAUUCCCCGAGCCAUUCUUGGAAUAUUGGGCCACAGGGGCCACUGGGGAGCAUGUAUAGGUAGGGGCGGCUUUGAUAUAAGCCUAGGUAUUCAAUUCUUCAUGGGACCCCCAAUGCUACCCCAAGUCUGCACCUUGAUUCCCAAAUACCCAAGAGAGACAAAAUGUCCUACUUUCUCUCUGAAGUUCUUCUAAUGUUGGAAGACCUAGGGUGGAGGCAAACCUUUCAGAGAAUUUCUGCUGGGAUUUAAAUGUAUGUCUAGCUGGCUUUAGACAUUAGAAGACUGUAAUAUGUACCUUAAUAAGUUGCCUUUCCCAUGGUGUUUGUUAUCCUCAGAAGACCCCCAUAGUGACUCUAGGAGACAAUUCUCAUAUCUUCUGAACUGUGCAUGUUCAUAGUUUUUCUGAGCAGGGUUUGCAUCUAGCAGCGAUGGAGGUAUAGGAGGUCACAGGCAACACUGCGUGCCUCACACAACAUUGUAGAUCAAGACACAGUUAAAUGGGCUGGCAAUUCUGAGUUUCUGAGUCCAGUCCCAUGACUAGUAUAGCUGUCAGAACUAGAGGGGCCAACCCUGGGAAUCUUGGAGAUGCUUUAUGAAUAUAUGAGAUUUCAGGCAUCCAAGCUCUUCUAUUUGUUUACAUGUAUUCUCAAUGUCUAUCUCCCAUUAUCAAAUCUAUUCCAAAAGUAUUUUUUCAACACUUGCUGGAGACUCUUGGAUAAAGCUAGUAAACGUGCUUUUAUUAAGCUCCAACUCUGUGCUGACCACUUAUACAUAUAUUGUCUCAGUUGCACUCAAAAUGCUAUUGUGUGUUAGGGUUCUUUCUUACAGAUUUUGAAACAGUGUCUUGGAGAGGUUAGGUGAAUUGCUCAAAAGACGCAGCAAGCACAGAGCUGUGACUUGGUCCUGUCUUAUCUGCUUUGGGGUUAUGGGUAGUUUAUCUUUAUAUGCCUAUUUUAACAGUAGACCCUCAACCACUGAAAUUGACAGGAAAAAGUAUGUGGUUGUUUUACCAAACAAACAAACAGACAAAAAACCAAACCCACCAAACCUGAAAUUUUUGGUUUGGUCAACAUUUUAAUUCAACUGUACUCAAUGUAUUAACAAUGGUGAUUUGAUAUGAUGGAUGUAAUUGAUAAUCAAUGCAGUGCCAUUUAUAGACUGCCUAAAAGUGCAUUGUACAUCAUUUUGACAACAUAUUUACCUGCAUUGUUUGGGCAAAAUGAAUUUUAAAAUUAUUUUUUGUUUCCUAAAUUUGUAUCAAUUGAAAAAAAAAAAGUCAUCUGGGUAGCAGACAGAAGUCAGCCUGGGACUACAGUGGGUCAUAACCCUGAGGAUUCAAAUGUGGGCAAUGGCAACAACAUCAGCGACUAAAGCUGUCAGUGGAGAAAAGAAGAAAGCACACGCCAGCCACCCUGCAGAACAAUGCAGUUCUUUCAGAGUCACAUAGUCCUAAAUCUGGAAACCAUCACAGCUGAGAGGAUAAGCUUUGGAACCCGAUAGUGGUCUAAAACUAGGCUCUGCCUGCCAUGGACAAACUACAAGAGACUGGGAAGUGAGUUAAACCUGAGCUAAAUCCCAGUUUCCUUCUCUGCAAAACAGGGAGUGGGGACAGUGGAAUAACACCUCCCUCAUAGAACUGUUGGGAGGCAUAAAUGACCCUCAGCACAGGGUGGUGUGUAUGGAAUGUGCAUCAUAAGUGGCAGCUAUUUUGAUAAUUACUAAACAUGAUGAAUGAUGAUAAGCGAAAUAAUAACACAGCUUUUCAACAUUUUCACUCAAUAAGUUAAAUUUAUAAUAGGCAAGCAAAGGAGUUUCCAGAAUUAAGCAUCUGAUGGGAGCUUAGACAGGUUGACUUUUACAGCUCAUUCUAACCCUGAGUGAGGGUCUGUGAUUUUAUAAGCCCUUUUAGGGUUCGAGUGCUACUUCUAAUCAAGAUCCUGGUAUCAUGUUUUUCUCCAUUACGUGGAACAAUAAUGAAUAGAUAAAUAAAAUAUAACUGGGAAAGGAGAACACAGAUUGAACACAUGCAUUUAUCUCCACUCUUGUCCAAAACCUCACAGUAAAAUAAUUUAAAAUACAUGAACCUAUAAGAACAAGAGAGGGGAGAUAUGAUGAAAGAGAAAACCAAAAUUUUGGAAGUUGGAAAAAAAUGGAAGGCUGGUUAGCCAAUUAGGGACAGUAGAAAGCUGCAUAUCUGUAAGGCACAUGCUGCCAAGAGAGAAAAGCAAGGCAAUUUGGAUGUGGAACCUCAGACAGGCUUAGAAUAGGAAACAGAUCCAUGAGUCAUGACACUGUGGUUGAGAUUUCUGCUUUAGCCAUUCCAGCGUAUGCUUGUUUUUCCCUAAAAGUCUUUACUCAUUUGUUUUCUCUCUUCCGCCCAGUGAACAUCUACUCAUUCUUCAAAACCCAGAACUGUUGUUGUUUCUUGAAAAAUGGAGAUUAUUCCAAAGUUCUUUUAGCCUUUGCAAUGUGAAGGCAUGUGUCAGGGUUGGGAGGAGUUGGGGAACAGCACCUCUUUCUUUUAACGUCCAAUUGAUUGAGGCCAAUGGGUCAUCCUGCCUCCUUCCCUAAAUAUUCCUGAGAAUGCUCAGAGAGGGCCCACAUGUUCCCUAAGUCCAUUCUGGUUACCCUGUGUGCCUUCUUGCUCUGGUCUGCUGCUCCCAGCUUCUUCACGAUCACUUGUGAUCAUUUGCUAGCCUUUUUUUAGUCCAUUUUACUCCAAAGCAAGAAUACAGUACUUGCUCCUUACUCUCCAAUGCUUACCAAUGCAACAACAAGAGGUAAUAGUAUUUAACAAAUUUUGAUACGGAGGAAAGGAAAACCUAAAAUAAGGUACCAUGUAUCACUAUUCCUGAAUUCUGUCAUCAUGUCCCUUUAAAGGCAGUGCUCUAUAGGUUCCGUCUCUCCUGUGGCCCCAGCCUGCUGCCACUGGAACAAGGGUCCAGGGUUCUUAAUGCACGGAAGUCUUCAUCUUAUCCCCCACAAAUCUACAGCCAAAAGAAGGAAAUACCCAUUGAUGACACGAUAGACAAUAUAACAGUUGACAAGAUAAUUGAUACAGCGUGCCCAAUGUGAAGAGAGAAUUUGUCACGGCUAGAGUAGUGAACCUUCUCCAGGUGAACCAUCUGCCGUUGGAAGCUUCCUUUUGUCCAGGGCUCCUGCAAGGCCAGUGAGUAGGUACUUCUAUCUACACAUGACUGAAAAAGACUUACCAAAACCAAUAUAUUCCCAAGGAUACUUUCUAAAUUCUACCCAAGGAGCAGAUGCUGCUCACAAUUCUCUAAAACAAGGUCUUUUUUUUUUCAACCCCAGAUAUAUCAAGAAUGGGACACAAUCUCCGAGGAAGAAAUUGUCAGCAUCUAUCUUGAAAAUAUCUUUGGUUUCCCAUUACAUUUCGGAUUUCUCUAGACCAUAUUUGUAGUUCCCUUUUUGGUGUUCCCAUUCUUGUAAGUUUAUAUAAACAGCAAUAAGACUAUAGCUCUUCUCACAGGAUACUUUGUUAUUUCUUAAUGGGACUGUCUGUCCUGUAGGCUAUGAGCUAUUUGAGGGCAAAGAAUAUUCUAUUCAUCUUUAUAUUCCUGGCACAUGGUAGGCACUCAGUAAUGCUGCUGCUGAAUUGAAUCGGCUGUGGGAAAAAAACAAAUGCUUCUCCUCAGUCAGCAUUUGUUUUCUAGGAUCUAUUCCAAUAUAUUUCCAACAAAAAUAUGAGAUUUAAAAGAUAGGCAGAGAGUGAAUUGAACUGAAUAUUGCACAAAAACUCCUUGUCUUUAAAGGUGGAAACAAAAUCCACCACCUUCCCAAGAUAGCUGUUCUGUCUCACAUCUUCUUGAAGCAAUGAAAUGAUGAGUACUGUGAUCAGAGAGGACCCUCAGAAAAUAAAUAAAAACCCAGCUCUACAAAUGCAGCCGUAAGCCAGGAGGAUAUGACGAAGGAUAUCAUUAUCAUCCUGAUAUUUUUAGAAGUUCUUUGGUGACAGGUCAGAUUUUUGAGAAUCAGAAAAUGAUAAAAAUAAUCUUGUUAUUCCACAAAGGAGGCUCUAUAUAUAUCAGGCCGAUUUUGAACACUGCCUGAGAAUGUUGAGAAAAUAUUUUUAAAUGUUAGUGAAAUGAUAGGCUUUGGGGGCAGACCCAGCCUCGCUUUAGAAAAAGCUUUAUCGUGGGGGGAUUGAGAGAUUUUAGUGAUGUGAGCAUUGUAAAGAAUCAGCAGUGAGUGGGUGUAAGUUUUUGUUUUCCAAUUUUCCAGAGGAGGGUCCACCUGGGAAGAAUUUCAUGAAAUUUACAGAAAUCUGAAAAUUGCUUUUGAAGCUAUUACAGGUACCUGGGGAGUCCUCCUUGGCCCCACAGGCUGACUACACUAUCCAGAUCUUAAGGGACUCUCAUCUUUCCUAACUUCUAGGUUGCAGGAUUCUGCAGAAUUACUUCUGCAGCUUCCAUUUGUAGCUAUUGCUAAGUGGACCCAUAGCUAUAUGGGAUGUGGGGCUCUGGAUUUCAGGUAGAAAUGACCCUUUGUUUAUUUGAGAUGUUUGCUUCUUUAAAUACUCAGCCAUCUGACUCUCUAAUUGUUUAGGAUUAGUCAUAAGUUAAGUAGGACAGGGAAGAUGUUAUAAAUAGUUUAUUGCAUAUCCAUUCAAGAAAUUUAGGCUAAGUUUAUAUAUUUUACCUUCUGAAAGGAGAAAGCCUGUGUGUUUAUUUAAAGCAUUGUAGAUUUUUUCUCAUUUAGAAUAUAUGAGUCUAGUAUAAAAAUUGAUUCUAGAUGAUUUAUAUGUAAGUUGCUCUUUUCUUCAUACUUAUUUUGCUACCUUUUUAUUUCA
rnacentral:lncRNA from 1 species